GGCUUAGAAGCAGCCACUCAUUAAAAGAGUGCGUAAUAGCUCACUGGUCGAGUGAUCCCGCGCCGAAAAUUUAACGGGGCUAAACUAUAAACCGAAGCUUGGGAUACCGCAAGGUAUGGUAGGAGAGCGUCAUGUAAGGGGUGAAGUCAUAGCGAAAGCGGUGGUGGACUUUACAUGAGUGAGAAUGCCGGAAUGAGUAGCGAGAAUUAAGUGAGAAUCUUAAUGGCCGAAAGUCUAAGGUUUUUGGAGGAAGGUUCGUCCGCUCCAAGUAAGUCGGGAGCUAAGGCGAGGCCGAAAGGCGUAGUCGAUGCACAUACGGUUGAUAUUCCGUAACCACUGACAACUUAAACAAAAUGACACUUUAGAAGGGCUUGACCCGGGUGCUGGUAAUCCCGGGCGUAAGGGACCGAAAUUUAGUAGGGAAGCAAGCUUGGAUGGAGGCGAGAAAAGUUUUGUGUAUGUAAUGUUGGUGCCCGUACCGCAAACCGACACAGGUGGACAGGAAGAGAAUUCUAAGGCCAGCGGGAGAAGGGUAGUUAAGGAACUCGGCAAAUUGACUCCGUAACUUCGGGAAAAGGAGUGCUCUCGAGAGAGAGCCGCAGUGAAUAGGCCCAGGCGACUGUUUAGCAAAAACACAGGUCUCUGCCAAAUCGAAAGAUGAAGUAUAGGGGCUGACACCUGCCCGGUGCUGGAAGGUUAAGAGGAGGAGUGAGAGCUCCGAAUUGAAGCCCCAGUAAACGGCGGCCGUAACUAUAACGGUCCUAAGGUAGCGAAAUUCCUUGUCGGGUAAGUUCCGACCCGCACGAAUGGUGUAACGAUCUGGGCACUGUCUCAACUACCCGCCCGGCGAAAUUGUAGUACCGGUGAAGAUGCCGGUUACCUGCGACAAGACGGAAAGACCCCAUGGAGCUUUACUGUAGCUUGAUAUUGGGUUUCGGUAAUUUAUGUACAGGAUAUGUGGGAGACUGGGAAGUUAUGGCGCCAGCCAUAAUGGAGUCGAUGUUGGGAUACCACACUUAGAUUGCUGGAAUUCUAACCUGUGGCCAUGAAACUGGUCAGGGGACAUUGUCAGGUGGGCAGUUUGACUGGGGCGGUCGCCUCCGAAAGAGUAACGGAGGCGCUCAAAGGUUGGCUCAGCACGGACGGAAACCGUGCAUUAGAGUGUAAACGCGUAAGCCAGCCUAACUGCGAGGGUGACGGCCCGAGCAGUAACGAAAGUUGGAGUUAGUGAUCCGGCGGUAUGUGAAUGGAAAUGCCGUCGCUCAACGGAUAAAAGCUACCCUGGGGAUAACAGGCUGAUCUCCCCCAAGAGUCCACAUCGACGGGGAGGUUUGGCAC
rnacentral:rRNA from 1 species